rnacentral:misc_RNA from 1 species
GGAAGUAAAAGUCGUGACAAGGUUUCCGUAGGUGAACCUGCGGAAGGAUCAUUAUUGGAUUUUGAAACUUCAGGCUGCUGCUGGCUCUCCUCGGAGGGCAUGUGCACGCUUGUUGUCCAUUAUUUCUCCCACUGUGCACAAAUUGUAGACCUUUCAGUAGGCCUAUGUUGUUUUUCACAAUCUCUGAAUGUAAUAGAAUGGUUUUGAAUCUUGGGAAAUACAAUACAACUUUCAGCAACGGAUCUCUUGGCUCUC